rnacentral:lncRNA from 1 species
CACUGCAUAUUGCUUCCGUCUCACUGAAAUACCACAGGACUGCUCGUUCUGCUCCCUUCUGCACACUGAGGGGCACCGACCAUGCCGCUAGCUCCCCAUUCUUGCAUUUCUUGCCAGUUUCUCAUUUUUUGCCUUUCUUGCCUCAAACUGCAAAGAGGGAACUGGGGGGUGGCUGUGGGCUGGCCCAGGUGCUGGCUGUUACCAGCUAGCCCUGUCUGCCUCCUGUGUGGGCCUGGGCAAGGCUAUUAAUGCCUAUGGGCAGGGCAGGCUGCUCCCUGAAGGCUGUGCAGCAGAAGCAACAGGGCAGGCUCCAGCCCCUGGUCCUUCUGCCCCCAGAGAAAGGUGCUUUCAGCUGCAGAGACCCAGCACCUGUGGAUGCACGGCAGUGAUUAUGUUCCCUGAUGCUGGAGCGAUACUGGGGCAACCCAGCGGUGAGUGGUGCAUUGGAGUAAAUAUACUAGCAUCUAAUUCCUGGUUUGGAAUCACAGCUAAAUUCCUUUGGUGUCCUGGCAAACCCGGCUUGGGGAGGGGAAGGAGCACUUCCACCUGGUGGUGAGGGCAUGGGUGCUGGGUGGUUAUGGCUGGGCCCCUUGGAGGGCCGGAGGCUGGUGCCAGAAGGAGUGUGCCCAGCUUGCCUUGUGAGUCCCUUCCAAGGCAGGAGGAUGCUUCAGAAAGCAUUUGAUGUGGGGAAACUGUGCAAGUUGAUAAAGAAGUCGAUAACAGUGCGUUUCUGAAGUGGAACUUAAACUGCUGAAAAUACUUUGAAAAGCACUGACCACAAUUAAGCACUUAAUCAGGAGAGCUGCAAUUUUCUGAGGCUCAAAGUACAAAAAUCAUGAAGUAGAGAUCCAGAGAUAUGAAGGAAAAUGUCUCUUUGGCAAUUAAGAUCCAUUCUGCUCAAAGGCUGAAAAUGGUAUCAUUGAAUUACUUUUGUUGCACAGUUGAUACACUGAAUUAUCUAAAAUGUAAACCAUUGUGCCUAAAAUGCCACUCAAUAAGUAAAACAGCUUCUCCUGCUCAGCUGUUACUCGCUCUGUGGAUUGGAUUCUGAUGGUAUCUUAUUUCCCUUCUUUAAAAGAAGGUUUUUAAUCAACUUCCUCUUCCCUCCCCCAUAGUACAGUGCUGGCUGGAAGGAGCAAUGCGGAGCACCAAGGAGAGGUUUUCCAGCCCUCGGACCUGCCCCCAUCACCCCAGUUCUUGCAGUGAAGCACGUGCAGAUGGGCAGGCUGUCUGGGGCUGGCAGGUGUGCUGACAUGUCCCAAAGGGACACCGUGCCAAGCUGGGUGCCGGCCACAUCGGGAAGCAGCAGGAGGUUAACAGGAGGCACAAUUGCCCCGCUUGUUUCUCCCUCCCAGUGGAGCUGCAGUGACUGAAUCGUCGCACAUCCAGCUCCGUUGUGUGAAUGUCUCUGCUCUUGUCCUUCCUAACCCUGACUUGUUGAUCGCAGAUCGGCAGUAAGUACUGCUGGAAGUGCUUCGUGCUGAAACCGUUGCUGUUUCCACUUAUUUUACACUUGAUUAUAGAUGAUGUAAAAAAAAAAAAAAAAAAAUCAACAACAGAACUAUACAUCUGUGACUUGUCAGAACUCUUUGUCACAUCUCUGAGUGCCAAUAAACAUGAAGUCUGCAUCCA